GGCGGAGUAGCUCAGUUUGGUAGAGCAUCGCAAUUGAGCUACCUUAUUUAUCCCUUGCCUAACUAGGCCGAAGAAUGAGGGUUAUCGAUUACAUAAACGAGUGUCGCGGGUUCAAAUCCCGCCUUCGCCC
rnacentral:tRNA from 1 species